rnacentral:rRNA from 1 species
GGUUAAGUUAGAAAGGGCGCACGGUGGAUGCCUUGGCACUAGGAGCCGAAGAAGGACGGGACUAACACCGAUAUGCUUUGGGGAGCUGUACGUAAGCGUUGAUCCAGAGAUUUCCGAAUGGGGGAACCCACUAUCUUUAGUCGGAUAGUAUCCUUACGUGAAUACAUAGCGUGAGGAAGGCAGACCCAGGGAACUGAAACAUCUAAGUACCUGGAGGAAGAGAAAGAAAAAUCGAUUUCCUGAGUAGCGGCGAGCGAAACGGAAAGAGCCCAAACCAAGAAGCUUGCUUCUUGGGGUUGUAGGACACUCUAUACGGAGUUACAAAAGAAAGUUAUAAAUGAAGCGGUCUGGAAAGGCCCGCCAAAGACGGUAACAGCCCGGUAGUUGAAAUGGCUUUCCCUCCAGAGUGGAUCCUGAGUACGGCGGAACACGUGAAAUUCCGUCGGAAUCCGGGAGGACCAUCUCCCAAGGCUAAAUACUCCCUAGUGACCGAUAGUGAACCAGUACCGUGAGGGAAAGGUGAAAAGCACCCCGGAAGGGGAGUGAAACAGUUCCUGAAACCGUGUGCCUACAAGUAGUUAGAGCCCGUUAAUGGGUGAUAGCGUGCCUUUUGUAGAAUGAACCGGCGAGUUACGAUUUGUUGCAAGGUUAAGCGGAAAAAGCGGAGCCGUAGCGAAAGCGAGUCUGAAUAGGGCGCAUAAGUAACAGGUCGUAGACCCGAAACCAGGUGAUCUACCCAUGUCCAGGAUGAAGGUAAGGUAAUACUUACUGGAGGUCCGAACCCACGCACGUUGAAAAGUGCGGGGAUGAGGUGUGGGUAGCGGAGAAAUUCCAAUCGAACUUGGAGAUAGCUGGUUCUCUCCGAAAUAGCUUUAGGGCUAGCCUCGAGGUAAAGAGUCAUGGAGGUAGAGCACUGUUUGGACUAGGGGCCCUUCUCGGGUUACCGAAUUCAGAUAAACUCCGAAUGCCAUGUACUUAUACUCGGGAGUCAGACUGCGAGUGAUAAGAUCCGUAGUCGAAAGGGAAACAGCCCAGACCACCAGUUAAGGUCCCCAAAUAUAUGUUAAGUGGAAAAGGAUGUGGGGUUGCUUAGACAACCAGGAUGUUGGCUUAGAAGCAGCCACCAUUGAAAGAGUGCGUAAUAGCUCACUGGUCGAGUGACCCCGCGCCGAAAAUGUACCGGGGCUAAACAUAUUACCGAAACUGUGGAUGAACCUCUUUAGAGGUUCGUGGUAGGAGAGCGUUCUAAGGGCGGUGAAGUCAGACCGGAAGGACUGGUGGAGCGCUUAGAAGUGAGAAUGCCGGUAUGAGUAGCGAAAGAAGGGUGAGAAUCCCUUCCACCGAAUAUCUAAGGUUUCCUGAGGAAGGCUCGUCCGCUCAGGGUUAGUCGGGACCUAAGC